GACGAACGCUGGCGGCGUGCCUAAUACAUGCAAGUAGAACGCACAGUUUAUACCGUAGCUUGCUACACCAUAGACUGUGAGUUGCGAACGGGUGAGUAACGCGUAGGUAACCUGCCUGGUAGCGGGGGAUAACUAUUGGAAACGAUAGCUAAUACCGCAUAAUAUUAAUUAUUGCAUGAUAAUUAAUUGAAAGGUGCAAUUGCACCACUACCAGAUGGACCUGCGUUGUAUUAGCUAGUAGGUGAGGUAACGGCUCACCUAGGCGACGAUACAUAGCCGACCUGAGAGGGUGGUCGGCCAACCUGGGACUGAGACACGGCCCAGACUCUUACGGGGGGCAGCAGUAGGGAAUCUUCGGCAAUGGCCGAAAGUCUGACCGAGCAACGCCGCGUGAGGGAAGAAGGUUUUCGGAUCGUCAAGCUCUGUUGUAAGAGAAGAACGGGUGUGAGAGUGGAAAGUUCACACUGUGACGGUAUCUUACCAGAAAGGGACGGCUAACUACGUG
rnacentral:rRNA from 1 species